UAUUAAAAAUUUCAUCUUCAUCCAUUUGUACCGUUACAAAAGCAUGGUUAAUAGAAUAACCAAACAGUGACACAUGGCAUAUCACAUGUACCUCAUGCUGAGGUAUAAGGGCCAUUUUUCAACAGUAGAAAUGGAUUAAAUUUUUAAUA
rfam:Gossypium hirsutum cultivar TM-1 unplaced genomic scaffold scaffold1428.1, whole genome shotgun sequence